UAAUCAGUGACGUCACUUAACGUGACAAAGAUUGAUUAAAAAAAGUGAUUUCAUGAGGAAAAAACGUCCACAAUAAAAGGGGGAUUUAUUGUUUAUUCAUGAUAGUAAUGUCAUAUGCAUUUAUUUAAUAAUAUUUAUGUAUAUACGUUCUCUUUUCUGCAUUUCACCUCUCCAGAUAGGUGAAAUGCAGCAAAGAGAAAGUAUAUAUGCUUGCUUCCUUGUAAUAAACCCUAUGUUCUAAUCCUAUGUAACAUUGUUGGCUGUGACACAUUGCAUGUUAUUUUCUAAGAUCAUGUUGAUGUCCUAAGUUACUGCACCCCCUGUCCAAGACAAUCUCCACGGCUAUGAACUCGACUAGUGUGUUUUGAAAUAAGUUGGCCAAUGAGACAUCGUACUGUCCAACUCAAAGGAGGGAUCAUGAAAUUUGAUUCUGCAGCCACAGAGAAGUAAAUCAAGAUGCAUGUUUCUGAGCACCUCAAGCACACGCCGCAAAGAUUGUGAGGUGGAGGAUUGACAACUGCCUGAUGAGCCAAGACGAGAGGACUUGAAUUAUAAAUUAAAUUACAAUCUAGUUAUUUGUUCAUAAUUGUGCUUUACUGUUGCCCUUCAAUGACAAUCUUAUUAUUUGUUCAUAAUUAAAUUAAAUUACAAUUUUACACUACAGUGUUCAACACCUGUUAUAGAUGUGUAAAGGCAUGAAUUAAUCAUUUACACUUUCUGCAUAAAGUGUGAACUAUUCAUCACUUGUAAAUGUCUUACACUACAUUCAUAGAGAUCUACUAACUAAUUAUUUGUUCAUAAUUGUGCUAGAUAUAUUUGGUGCCCUUCAAUUACAAUCUAAUUAUUUGUACAUAAUUCUGCUUGAUAUGUCCGGUGCCCUUCUGAUGCUAUUCAUGGCAAUUUAUUUUUGAAUAAAGAUUAAAAUGGU